UGUGUGCCCGGCCAGGAGCCCGGAGGCGAGAGGAUCCAGUGAUGGACGCCUCUUUGGUCCCCCACCCCUUCUCCCCCCGGUCUUUCCGAAACGGUUCCGUCCCGGGCUCUCCCACUGUCCAGCUCCCGGCCGCCGGCUCCCCUGCCCCUAAGAGCUGAUUUACAACCCAGGAUGUUUGAACUGCUUCGUGUUCCCUUUCAUCUCCUCCGCGGUGGAGGCCGAAAAUCCCCACCUUCCAAGCGGCGCCUGCAGGAGGCUGUUUGGGGACUCAAAGAAGGACCGGCCGAGCCCGGCCAAGGGGCCGAGGAAGGCGGCCCCCGGACCGCCGGACAUCUCCGGAGCCCUCACCACCCUCAAACAACACCCCUAACAUGUCCACUGAGGCACCGUCAAAACUACAGAGGCACAGGCUCUGUCCUUUUUACCUUCUCCAACGCCGACAGGGACGUAUACCCAGCCACCAGAAACUCCACAAAGAUACACGACACUCGCAGGACACAGUAUGAAAUGAAGAGCUCAAAGAGGUCCAGAAGAGCAUAAGAAUGACAAAAAAAAAAAAUCAACAAAGCCCAUUUUGGGUAGCCAGCGUAUAUACGGAUUUCCCUCUCUCCUUUCUAUUUACAUGAAGUUGGCCUCUAGGGAAAAAACAACAACACCCACAACCUGAGCCAGCUUAAAAGCUGGAGGGGGUAGAU